AUGCCUAACCUAACGCCUUCCCUUCCCUUUUUUUUGCCCCAAAUCGGAAACCCACCUCGCCUGAUCCACCAUUCCACCUCCGGUGACCGGCCUUCCACGACUCCACCUCUGCUCUAACGGUGCUUCCAGCGAAUCUAGCCUUCAACAUCUUCUACCUUUGAAUUUCAAAGAAACAAGCUAUUGAGGCAAAAAAAUAGCGGGCCCAGUCAGGUUGCUAUCACAAGGCUAGCGUAGUUAAAUAACUAGUUUAUUAUCUCGUGCAAUAUAUGAGUUCGGUAUUAUACUAUUAUGUAAUAUGUAUUUAUUUUUAUAUGAAAAUGGUCGAAUAUCAUUUUAUCCC